GUGACUCUAAGAUAACGUCACCCUGCACCGACUGAUCGCUAGUUAUCAAUACUGCACGCAACUGCACGUGGAAACUGCAACGGCAAGAAUGGAUAAAUUUGUAAUUUGCAAGGUUAGAAAUGUUGAGAAAAUUGUGGACAGCCUGAAUCAUCUGAACCGUGUAUCUCUACAAAACACAAGAGCUAGACCCGUUCUGACCAAUGUAGGAAACGUCGGAAAUAUCAAGAGGAAUUCAUAAAGUAUGGAUUCACUUGCUCUUCUGUCAACGAUUUGGACCAUUCUCAGUGUGUAAUCUGUUCAGAAGUGCUUGCCCAUGAAAGUAUGAAGCCUGGAAAAACGCAGAGACAUUUGGAGACGAGAAACCCUGCUUGUGUUGAAAAACCUAUAGACGUUUUUCGCAGAAAAGAGAAGGAAUUAUACAGAUUCAUAUUUGUGUGAGCAGACUUUUUCAGCUGUUACGUACAUGAAAAAAAAAUACAGAUCACGUCUUGAUGUUGAGGAUGAUCUGCGAGUAGCCGUAUCCAACAUCAGGCCACAGAUUACACUUUUGUGCACCGAAAAACAAGUGCACCCAUCCCACUGUAAGGUAAACCUAAAUACAGUAAAUAUUAUGAAAGUUUGUUUCCGCCACGUAAGAAAAUAUUUGAAAAGAUAACUUUUUAAAUCUAAAAAUUGCGAGUUUAAAUCUUGCUAUUCUGACUUGGUUUUUCAUAAUUGUGAAAUACAAACUUGCAGUGUGAGUUAUUAAGUUAUAAAUGGUAUAAAAUCGCAAUUACCUUUUUUAUUUUGUUAUUCUGCAAACAAGCUUCCAUAGGAAGUGGAUGUGGAUUUAAAACAACUUUUUUUUUCUGUUUAUUGUUUGUGUAUUCUGUGGUAUUGGGUCGUGAGUUCUCGUCGAUGUUUGUUUAGGGGUCGUUGGCUAAAAAGUUUGAGAACCACUGCCCUAGUGGUCCAGAUCAACUGCUCCAUACACAGCAGGACUGGGACCAGAACUGCACUCUAGAUGAGAGUAUGACUCAUCAGGAGUUAUGUGAUAAACUCAUGGAAUUGUAUCAAAAACUUGGUGAGGUAACUGGUGCUUGGCUUCUUUAUAAGGCAGCAGGGGGUUGGGGAAGCCGGAAGCUUUCACUUGUGGCACCUGCAGACUGUGGGUACACAGGCAGGCUUAUCAAAACCCCCAAAAUAGGGGAGAAUUCUGUCCUCUAUAUAGCUCCAGUACAAGAUGAGCUCGAUGUCACUCCCUUGCCACCAUCAUCAGAAGCAGUCCGAGAUAUGCCUAAAGCAAUGUGCAAAAAAUACUGUACCCACUUCAGAUCCUCACAAAUCACAUUAAGACUUGUUCUGAUGUUGUUGUGGUCGAAGAUGGAGAUGAAAGUCAGGAUGAAACUCUGCAUGAUCCACAAGAUGUGGAAAGUGAAAAAAAGAGCAAUGAACAGGCUUGAGUCCUAUUUGUCUUGAAGAAAUGGCCCUUGACAUCUUGGAAGUUCAUGCCAGUGAAUGUGGGGAAAGAUCUAUGGAUGAUGAAAAUAACAACACAACUGAGUUGUCAUGUAUGGAUAAUGAAGUGAACGACACUGCUGAGUUUUUAUACGUGGAU